ACGAACGCUGGCGGCGUGCUUAACACAUGCCAGUCGAACGGAAAGGCCCUGCUUUUGUGGGGUGCUCGAGUGGCGAACGGGUGAGUAACACGUGAGUAACCUGCCCUUGACUUUGGGAUAACUUCAGGAAACUGGGGCUAAUACCGGAUAGGAGCUCCUGCUGCAUGGUGGGGGUUGGAAAGUUUCGGCGGUUGGGGAUGGACUCGCGGCUUAUCAGCUUGUUGGUGGGGUAGUGGCUUACCAAGGCUUUGACGGGUAGCCGGCCUGAGGGGGUGACCGGCAAUAUUGGGCAUGGAGAAGCGCCGGGAAUCAGAGGGGGGGAAGCGGUGGGGAAUGUGGAAAAGGGGGGGAGGGCCGAAGGCAGCAGCGCCGGGGGGGGGGUGGGGGCUUUGGGUUUGAACCCGCUUUUCGCCGGGAAGGAAGCGGGAGGAGGGGAAGGGGGAAAAAAAGCCCCGCCAAACUAGGUC
rnacentral:rRNA from 1 species